UGAAUGAUUUUCGUUCAGAUCAUUUGUUGUAUUGUAAUAUGAUGCACACUUUUCUGUGUGGACGUGCUCUGGUGCUAAGUGUGGAAAGGCCCGUGCACCGCACCAAGUUGAGGCAAGUUGAGCUAUCUAUCUAACAGAGCUACAUUUCUUAUCGUGUGGAAAAGAAAAUGCAAUCUAUAGCAGAUAGAGAACUGAAUUAUAAAAAUUUGAACUGUAUGGCAUCCAAACCCUUUGGUAGUAAACAUAUGCAAGUUUUUUGAAAUUGCAUUAACUGUGUAGAAAGUUCUGAGCAUUUUAUUGCGUCAGUCCAAUCCAGUAGUGUGAAUAUGUUUCUCAUGAUAAAUUUACAGGAUGUUAAAUUUAGUCUCGCCUAUGCUAUUAGGGUCAACUUUUUAAAAGGUAGAUUGAACUCAGGAUAAGGAGCUGGACCUGGUGUCGAGUUAAUAAGUUCUUUGUCGUGGCUGUAUCCUGUGGAACAGUUCACUUUACUUAUAUCCUCUUGACGUGAAAUAUCAAUGACUCGCUCCAGCAUACAUAGCUGGGGUCAGAGAUGCAUCUAAAGAGUGCAUAAAGUUUCCAUAACCCAUUUCUUCCAGUAGCUUAUUUACUUGCCCAACCCAGUUCAGUGGACACCCAGUUCAGUGGAGAGUAAAGCUGGCCCCAGACUCCAUGAUUUACUCAUGCCUUGCUUAUCACCUCGACAACAUUUACACAGCAUCCAUACUUCCUCUUGCUGUGCUCAUCACCUCAGAAAAAAAAAGUAUGGAUGACUGCCACGAUUGCUUGACCUUUUGUAGCUUAGGAACAUUUUAUUACAAAAUCUAGGGGAAGUUAGUUGUUAAAGUAAGGCAAAAUUGGAUGACUGCAAAACGAUUCCUCAUUUCUUGUUUGGCUCCAAUAAACGUUACAAAAAUAAUUAUGCCACCAAAAAAAGGACAAAAUUCACUGCAAGAAGAGGUGCAAUUGAUUGAUGCAGUGCGUGACCGUCCUUGCCUUUGGAACAAACUUCAUCCCGAUUUCAAAAAUUUGAUUAAAAAAGAAGCUGCGUGGCUGGAGGUGGGGAAAUUGCUGGGAAAAGUAGAAGACAAAGCAGAAGUCACUUUGGGGUAACUUGAGGAGUCAGUUUGUUUCGUUUUUACGGCGACUCGUAAAACCAACAGGAAGUGGUGGAGGGCGAGCAUUUUUCCGCCACGAAGAUGCCAUGCUUUUCUUGAAGGGGACUGUAGAACCAGAUGAGGAGUAAUCAAGAAAUUGACAAAUUUCAUUGAUAAAAUUCAAUAUUUUGUGAUUUUAUUUCAGAAAUUUUUCUAAUCUUGAUGAUGACGAGGAAAAUUCUCAGAUGAUCAAUGAUGAAAUUGCGAUAGAAUUAUCAAGCAUGGGCUCCGUCAGCCAGAUUGAGUCAACAAUUUUACCUCGGAACAAAGAGGUACCCCCAGGACGGUCACACGCCAAGUUUGGAAAGAGGAAACUUGAUGAAUUCGACAAAGAGUUGUUGGGAAUGCUAAAAAACGGCCAAGAUGAAUAUGAUACAUAUUGCAAAACACUUGCCGAGAAAUUUCGACUAUUAAGAAAUUCAGACCGAAAAAGAUUUUUAGAACUACAAUACAGUAUCAACUCUCUUGUUCACGAAGCUGAAAUGAGGUCACUUUUAUCGGGAUAAAUAUUUUGUUCUUAAUAUGUAAAUGCGUUAUAUUGUGUACGAAUUAGGAAUUCAUAUGAAUUAUAUAAUUGGUGUUAAGUAUCGUGGAUUGAAUAAAUAGCCAAGAACAAAAUGGUCAACAUAGCCGGUUUCGGAUUGGA